AUUGAACGCUGGCGGCAUGCUUUACACAUGCAAGUCGAACGGUAACAGGCCUUCGGGUGCUGACGAGUGGCGAACGGGUGAGUAAUGCAUCGGAACGUGCCCAGAGGUGGGUGAUAACGCAGCGAAAGCUGUGCUAAUACCGCAUGUGAUCUGAGGAUGAAAGCGGGGGACCAGGCAGCAAUUUUUGGCCUCGCGCCUUUGGAGCGGCCGAUGUCAGAUUAGGUAGUUGGUGGGGUAAAGGCCUACCAAGCCGACGAUCUGUAGCUGGUCUGAGAGGACGACCAGCCACACUGGGACUGAGACACGGCCCAGACUCCUACGGGAGGCAGCAGUGGGGAAUUUUGGACAAUGGGCGCAAGCCUGAUCCAGCAAUGCCGCGUGCGGGAAGAAGGCCUUCGGGUUGUAAAGCGCUUUUGUACGGAACGAAAAGGCUCUGGCUAAUACCUGGGGCUGAUGACGGUACCGUAAGAAUAAGCACCGGCUAACUACGUG
rnacentral:rRNA from 1 species